rnacentral:lncRNA from 1 species
AUGAUAUUUGCGGUUCUGCCAGAUCCUAAUUCCCUCCAGCUUGGCAGCCAUGACUCUCUAGCCUUGCAGGUAGCUGAGCUCGAACUCCACAAUGAAAAACAACUCCUGCAAGAUGAAGAACUGGCUUGGAGGCUUCAAGGUGAGGAGGAGUCUCACAUGGGACUCCACACUACGGGAAGCUUCCGAUAUUUUUGGCAGAGAAUAAGACGGAAUCGGGAGCGUAGUGACGACGGAAUCGGGAGCGUAGUGACGAUUAUCGAGCUGUACAGGUGGCUCAGGAUGAGUUCAAAUGAAUGGUUUCCUCUGCAGUCGAUUGCCAGAUAUUUGCAAGGUCAAGAGUUGAAGUCCCAUGAAAGACAGAUCCAAGAAACAGACCGUGGGACUGAAGAGAGCAUCGAAAAUAGCUUUUUCUCUGAGAUGAGGCAAAGCAAAAACAGAGAGGUAAGAAAGCGGGUUCCCCCUACUUGAGGAGAUAGUAAUAAUAGCAUGUGUUAAGUGUUUACUAUGUGCCAGGCACUGUACUAAGCCCUGGGGUGGAUACAAGCAAAUCGGGCCGGACACAGUCCCUGGCCCAUGUGGGGCUCACAGUCUCAAUCCCCACUUCAGAGAUGAGGUAGCUGAGGCACAAGAAGCAAAGUGACUUGCUCACACAGCAGACAAGUGGCCAAGGUGGGAUUAGAACCCAUGACCUUCUGACACCCGGGCCUGUGCUCUAUCCCCUAGGCCAAAUAAUAAUAAUAGUACUUGUAGAGCACUGGGGUAGAUUGAUGUUAUUCACAGUCCCUGUCCCACGUAGGGCUUAGGCUCUUGAUCCCCAUUUUGCAGAUGAGGUAACUGAGCCACAGAGAAGGUACGUGACUUGCCCAAGGUCCCACAGCAGCCAUGUGGCGGAGUCAGGAUUAGAACCCAGGUCCUUCUGACUCCCAGGCCCGUGCUCAUAACGUUUACACCCGUGUAGGGUAGCCGGCAUCUUACUAAGAAAACUAAAAACAGUAGAGAAGGGGGGGUCAAACUGAGUACGUGCCCUGUCAUCCCAGUUCCUCUUCUGCCACGGCUUCUCUGGGAGACCCUGGCACGCCCGCUCUGGUCUCCAACCUCCCCAUCUCAGAAGUCAUUUCAUCAUUAUGACUUGAAGUGAUCUGGAUGAAUCUGACAUUCCAUUGAAGUGAUUCUGUAUGAUUUGUAAUUCUCUGAAAUUAACAAGUAAAUCUUAAAACUGCAUCAGAAGUCAGGGGUUAGUAUUCUGGGUUGCAAAAGCCAAUCUGGAUUGUAUUUGCAUAAUAAGAUGGGUAAAGUUAUUAUAUUUAAAGUAUAUAUGAAGUAUAUGUGUUUUAAGGGUCUUAAACCUAAUUGAUUUGAAGUGAAAUCUCAAUAAAUAAAUGAUAGAAGAUGAUAAAGAAGCAAAAUGGCUUCUUUCCUUAUUUACAUAUGUAUAUAUUUAUUGAUCUAUUUUAUUAAUGAUGUGUAUAUAUCUAUAAUUCUAUUUAUUUAUAUUGAUGCUAUUGAUACCUGUCUACUUGUUUUGUUGUCUGUCUCCCCACUUCUAGACUGUGAGCUCGUUGUUGGGUAGGAGUUGUCUCUAUCUGUUGCCAAAUUGUACUUUCCAAGCGCUUAAUACAGUGCUCUGCACACAGUAAGAGCUCAAUAAAUACAGUUGAAUAAGUACAUGAGAAAGAGAGCUGUAAAUUCUCCAUUGCUUGCUAGUGAAGCAGCAUGGCUUACGGGAUAAGAGCAC